rnacentral:rRNA from 1 species
UGGGGAAUAUUGCACAAUGGGCGCAAGCCUGAUGCAGCGACGCCGCGUGAGGGAUGACGGCCUUCGGGUUGUAAACCUCUUUCAGUACCGACGAAGCGCGAGUGACGGUAGGUACAGAAGAAGCACCGGCCAACUACGUGCCAGCAGCCGCGGUAAUAAUCACUAGUGAAUUCGCGG